rnacentral:misc_RNA from 4 species
CGUUAUCUCAUGAGGUUUCGCUGAAUCUCAUAAGAAUCGAAAAAUGCUAUAAAAUCCACGCAAUUGCGUGGAUUUUUUU